GUGCGCUGCCUCUCAUGUCGAGGCUGGCUCUCGUCUCUCUCCCUCUCUCUCCGUUCUCUUUGCUCUCUUUGUCUCCAUCUCAGGUGAAUUGUAGACAUGUGAUCAAACGCCCAAGCCUCUAUCCAUUAACCCUCGUAAAUGAAAAAAUGGGGAACAAAAAGCAGUUUUGUGCUGCAAACAUGGAAAAAAUUGAUAACAGAGAGAGAUGUGUGCGUCUUUCUCCCCUUAUGUCCAGAGCAAAGACACCAGUUGUGCACACAUAGAAAACCCUCUGCGGCAGACAGGACACAUGGAUCUCUCUGCUGCGACACUUCUCUGUCUCCAAACACUCCGCCGCACCACCUGGAUUCGGGCCUUGGAUGCUAGGGGGCUGUGUUUGGGGGGUGGUGGGUUAGUUUGUGUUGGGGAGGUGUGCACCCACAUGCUGCACCCCCAGAAAGCGACCCCUGGGACCCUGGCAUGAGGCCCUGCAUGGUGAAGUGUACCAGAGGUGGGCGGGGCAUCAGCAGAGGGUCAUCAGCAGGGUGACAUGUCCAUCGCACAUCUGGACCCUGUGUGCCAGCUGCUGCUGUCCUGAAAAAAACCCCAGUUGCUGGCUCUCUCCUGCCUGAGACACCUGUGUGGUUUGUGUUGCUUCAUCUUUGCACUCGUGCACCCACCUCAACUCUGCUGGUCUCACUGAUCACAUAUUGUUAGUUUAAGUUCUCCUCUUGGAUCUAUUCCUGUAUAAUUGUUACAGCUCUGUUGUGUGCACCUCCUUCUUUUGCCAUGGCCACGCGGCUCGGUGUGUGACAGUGAUGUGACUUAUAUAUUACAGUCUGUGGGAAGAUAUGGUAUCGCAAAUAAAGUGAAGCAAAUUCACUUUUAAAACCAUUUAUCUGUUUACUCCUGCCUCUUUACUCUGUUACUCAUUAAAACACAGACAAUGCAGGAUGUGUUGAAUUACAUGGUUAGAAAUGCGGCUGUUUAUCAGUACUUGGGGUUAAUGUUACCUCGGCCAAGUGUGUUUCCAACCCCGUCCAUUUCUUUGUAAGAAAGAUUACACAAAAACUACUGAAUGGAUUUUAAAAGAAGUGGGGGGAAGAAGCCAUUGAAUUUUGAAGCAGAUCUGGAUCAGGGAGAUGAUCCAGAAGUUUUUUUUUAACUUUCUUUAACUUUGUGAGAUAGGAUGUUUUGACAUUUUCACAAUUUCCCCAGAAAAUAACUCAUGCAUCUUGUUGAAAAAACAAAGGCUCAUUUAGAGAACUUAUAUCUAUGAGUGUUUGAUAUUUAAUGUAGCUUGAUCUAAUUAAAGUGGAUUGUUGGGCCUUGGCAGAGAUUUAGUGCCAUUACAGUUUUGGAAUAUGAAAUUUAAUUGAAGCGAAGGCAGUGUACAUUUCUGAAAAGCACCUUAAAACUAAUUUGUUGGCUAUAUCUGUAAUUUUAAGCUUCCAUCUAAUGGGUUGUAUAUUCAAUAUUUUCAAUAAUGUUUUUUUAAUCUAAAUCUUCGCUGCCUCUUUUAAUCCAUCUUUCGCCCUUUCAUUGUUUUUUUUUAAAAGAUCUGUCACACCGUUUCCCCACUGCAAAAAUAAAUUAUUAAACAUAUGUCAGUUAAGAUUUUACAUUUCAACCACUGCACCAUCCCCAAAUAAAAAAUAUAUAUUAAAAAAAUGGGACAUAACAUUUUAUUUGCUGUGGUCUUAUAUGUGUUUGAUGUGAACUGAUCCAAAACCACAAAUAAAGUGAUAUUUCUUUUAUCAAAACCA